AGUGAACGCUGGCGGCAUGCCUAACACAUGCAAGUCGAACGGCAGCGCGGGCUUCGGCCUGGCGGCGAGUGGCGGACGGGUGAGGAAUGCAUCGGAAUCUGCCCAGUCGUGGGGGAUAACGUAGGGAAACUUACGCUAAUACCGCAUACGACCGAGAGGUGAAAGCGGGGGACCUUCGGGCCUCGCGCGAUUGGAUGAGCCGAUGCCGGAUUAGCUAGUUGGCGGGGUAAAGGCCCACCAAGGCGACGAUCCGUAGCUGGUCUGAGAGGAUGAUCAGCCACACUGGGACUGAGACACGGCCCAGACUCCUACGGGAGGCAGCAGUGGGGAAUAUUGGACAAUGGGCGCAAGCCUGAUCCAGCAAUGCCGCGUGGGUGAAGAAGGCCUCGGGUUGUAAAGCCUUUUGUACGGAAGAAAGACGCUGGGUUAAUACCCUGGCGGGAUGACGGUACCGUAAGAAUAAGCACCGGCUAACUUCGUGCCAGCAGCCGCGGUAAUACGAAGGGUGCAAGCGUUACUCGGAAUUACUGGGCGUAAAAGCGUGCGUAGGCGGUUUGUUAAGUCCGUUGUGAAAGCCCUGGGCUCAACCUGGGAACUGCAGUGGAUACUGGCAGGCUAGAGUGCGGUAGAGGAUGGUGGAAUUCCCGGUGUAGCGGUGAAAAUGCGUAGAGAUCGGGAGGAACAUCGAUGGCGAAGGCAGCCAUCUGGACCAGCACUGACGCUGAGGCACGAAAAGCGUGGGGGAGCAAAA
rnacentral:rRNA from 1 species